GACGAACGCUGGCGGCGUGCUUAACACAUGCAAGUCGAACGCUGAAGCUCAGCUUGCUGGGUGGAUGAGUGGCGAACGGGUGAGUAACACGUGAGUAACCUGCCCCCUUCUUUGGGAUAACGCCCGGAAACGGGUGCUAAUACUGGAUAUUCACUGAUCUUCGCAUGGGGGUUGGUGGAAAGGUUUUUUCUGGUGGGGGAUGGGCUCGCGGCCUAUCAGCUUGUUGGUGGGGUGAUGGCCUACCAAGGCUUUGACGGGUAGCCGGCCUGAGAGGGUGACCGGUCACAUUGGGACUGAGAUACGGCCCAGACUCCGACGGGAGGCAGAAGUGGGGAAUAUGGAGCAAUGGGCGAAAGCCUGAUGCAGCGACGACGCGUGAGGGAUGGAGGCCUUCGGGUUGUAAACCUCUUUCGGUCAUGGUCAAGCCGCAACAGUGGUUGUGGUGAGGGUAGUGGGUAAAGAAGCGCCGGCUAACUACGUG
rnacentral:rRNA from 1 species